rnacentral:rRNA from 1 species
AGAGUUUGAUUAUGGCUCAGGACGAACGCUGGCGGCAUGCCUAACACAUGCAAGUCGAACGGGGUUGGAAACAACCCAGUGGCGGACGGGUGCGUAACACGUGAGCAACCUGCCCUUUACAACGGGAUAACACAGAGAAAUUUGUGCUAAUACGGUAUGAGACCACAGCGCGGCAUCGCGGAGUGGUUAAAGUUCAGGCGGUAAAGGAGGGGCUCGCGGCCCAUUAGAUAGUUGGUGAGGUAACGGCUCACCAAGUCGACGAUGGGUAGCCGACCUGAGAGGGUGAUCGGCCACACUGGAACUGAGAUACGGUCCAG